ensembl:snoRNA SNORA62 Small nucleolar RNA SNORA62/SNORA6 family
CCUGCACAUUGUUAGAGCUUGGAGUUGAGGCUGGCUGGCCGAUGAACUGACAAGUGUAGGUAGUGUGCUACAUGAGGGGCAAGUCUUUCGCUAAUACCACAAGCAUCUCUGGCCUAGUGAGUGGAAUUUGAUAGUAAUUCUUGCUACAAGU